rnacentral:rRNA from 1 species
CUACGACCUCAGAUCAGACGAGACAACCCGCUGAAUUUAAGCAUAUUACUAAGCGGAGGAAAAGAAACUAACCAAGGUUUCCUCAGUAGCGGCGAGCCAAGAGGGAAGAGCCCAUCGCUGAAUCCCUGUCCGACCGGCGGGCACGGGACAUGUAGGGUAUAGAAGACCGCUUUGCCCGGGUGUCGAUCGGGGGCCUGAGUCCUUCUGAUCGAGCCUCAGCCCGGUGUACGGUGUGAGGCCGGGAACGGCCCCCGUCGCGCCGGGGUUCAGUCUUCUCGGAGUCGGGUUUGCUUGUGAAUGCAGCCCAAAGUGGGUGGUAAACUCCAUCUAAGGCUAAAUACCGGCACGAGACCGAUAGUUCGACAAGUACCGUAAGGGAAAGUUGAAAAGAACUUUGAAGAGAGAGUUCAAGAGGGCGUGAAACCCGUUGAGAGGUAAACAGGUGGGGUCCGCGCAGUCUGCCCGGGAGGAUUCAACUCGGCGGGUCAGGGUCGGUCGUUCCGGGGUGGUCGGAUCCCCUCGUGGGACGGACCCCUGGUCGGGCUCGCCCCCCCCGGGCGCAUUUCCUCCGUCGGUGGUGCGCCGCGACCUGCUCCGGGUCGGCUUGGAAGGGCUUGCGGCGAAGGUGGCUACCGGUUUCGGCCGUGAGCUUUACAGCGUCCCUGCUCCGUACUCGCCGCUUUCCGGGGCCGAGGAUUUAGUCCCCGCUGCGUCAUGUCCCCCUGCGGGGGGGCACGGGGCCCCCCGCUCCCGGCGCGACUGUCAACCGGGUCGGACUGUCCUCAGUGCGACCCAACCGCGUUGCGUCGCCAGGGCGGGGAUCGGCUCACGUAAAACUGGCGCCAGGGGUCAGUGGCGAUGUCGGCAACCCACCCGACCCGUCUUGUAACACGGACCAAGGAGUCUAACGCGCGCGCAAGUCAGAGGGUUUUCUCCGAACACGCCCCGUGGCGCAAUGAAAGUGAGGGCCCGACACGCGACCCCGUGGCGCAAUGAAAGUGAGGGCCGACGCGUUUCGGCUGAGGUGGGAUCCCGGCCCUCCGGGGCCGGGGCACCACCGGCCCGUCUCGCCCGCUCUGUCGGGGAGGUGGAGCGUGAGCGCGUGCGAUAGGACCCGAAAGAUGGUGAACUAUGCCUGGGGCAGGGCGAAGCCAGAGGAAACUCUGGUGGAGGUCCGUAGCGGUCCUGACGUGGCAAAUCGGUCGUCCGACCUGGGUAUAGGGGCGAAAGACUAAUCGCCUGACGUGCAAAUCGGUCGUCCGACCUGGGUAUAGUGCGAAAGACUAAAUCGAACCAUCUAGUAGCUGGUUCCCUCCGAAGUUUCCCUCAGGAUAGCUGGCGCUCGAAGAGUCUCGCAGUUUUAUCUGGUAAAGCGAAUGAUUAGAGGUCUUUGGGGCCGAAACGAAUCUCAACCUAUUCUCAAACUUUAAAUGGGUAAGAAGCCCGGCCGCUGGCUUGGAGCCGGGCGUGGAAUGCGGGCCGCCUAGUGGGCCCACUUUUGGUAAGCAAAACUGUGGCGCUGCGGGAUGAACCGAACGCCGGGUUAAGGCGCCCGAUGCCGACGCUCAUCAGACCCCAGAAAAGGUGUUGGUCGAUAUAGACAGCAGGACGGUGGCCAUGGAAUUCGGAAUCCGCUAAGGAGUGUGUAACAACUCACCUGCCGAAUCAACUAGCCCUGAAAAUGGAUGGCGCUGAGCGUCGGGCCCAUACCCGGCCGUCGCCGGCAAUGAGAGCCUCGAGGGCUAUGCCGCGAUGAGUAGGAGGGUCGCCGCGGUGAGCACGGAAGCCUAGGGCGCGGGCCCGGGUGGAGCCGCCGCGGGUGCAGAUCUUGGUGGUAGUAGCAAAUAUUCAACGAGAGCUUUGAAGGCCGAAGUGGAGAAGGGGUCCCAUGUGAACAGCAGUUGAACAUUGGGUCAGUCGGUCCUAAGAGAUGGGCGAACGCCGUUCGGAAGGGAGGGGCGAUGCCCUCCGUCGCCCCCGGCCGAUCGAAAGGGAGUCGGGUUCAGAUCCCCGAAUCCGGAGUGGCCGGAGAUGGGCGCCGCGAGGCGUCCAGUGCGGUAACGCGACCGAUCCCGGAGAAGCUGGCGGGAGCCCCGGGGAGNNNNNNNNUGUAAGGGAAGUCGGCAAGUCAGAUCUGAAAGGACUCGUCCGAGUGGCAGUGUACGCAAAGUGCCUCACUUGAUGGAACUUUUGUAUCUUUAUGAAAUAAUAGAAUAUCACACUGUUGGGUGAAUGUCUUCAUUUCUGGUGUGUUGUCAUGGUUGUAUUUGAGUUUAUACAGUAUCUUUGCUGUGAUUUAUAUUGGGUUGAAAUGUUGUAGUACUGUAUGCGUAUCAGUUGAUUUGUGUUUCUGGGUGGGUUUGGUAGUUGCUUAAUAAAGUUUGGACUGAGUGUCAUACAUUCGAGCCUCCUGUGGUGUCGCCACGAGAGAGGGGCCCAAGCCCUGGAAAGCGUUGCUGUUUCGGUGCUGUCCGGAGAGCUCUCCCUGGCUCUUGAAAGUUCGGGGGAGAGGGUGUAAAUCUCACGCCAGGCCAUAUUACUUUACUAUAUCCGCAGCAGGUCUCCAAUGUGAACAGCCUCUGGGAUGUUAUAACAAUGUAGGUAAGGGAAGUUGGAAAAAAGCCUCUGGCAUGUUAGAACAAUGAAUGUAAGGGAAGUCGGCACAAGUCAGAUCCCGUAACUUCGGGAUAAGGAUUGGCUCUAAAGGGCUGGGUCGGUCGGGCUGGGGUGCGAAGCGUGGCUGGGCUUCGAGCCGCGGCUGGGGGAGCAGUUGCUCCGCCGCCCCUCCCGUCGCCACCGUUGGAUGUUUGUCGUGUGGCCCAUCAGGGGGCUCUCCUUGGCGGUCUCGCAAGGGGCCGUUUGUGGGGGUUCAUUGUGGUGGUGUCCUGCGGCAGGCCUAAGGCGGACCGGCGAUGGGUUGGGAUAGGCGGAUGAAGGCGGCGACUCUGGACGCCGUGCCGGGCCCUUCUCGCGGAUCUCCCAGCUACGGUGCCGUCGGCCCCGUUUACGCGGGGUCUCCGGCGGGUUGCCCGGCCGGCGCCUAGCAGCUGACACGAACUGGUGCGGACCAGGGGAAUCGACUGUUUAAUUAAAACAAAGCAUCGCGAAGGCCCAAGGUGGGUGAUUGACGCGAUGUGAUUUCUGCCCAGUGCCUCUGAAUGUAAAAGUGAAUAAAUUCCAUGAAGCGCGGGUAAACGCGGGAGUAACUAUGACUCUCUUAAGGUAGCCAAAUGCCUCGUCAUCUAUUAGUGACGCGCAUGAAUGGAUGAACGAGAUUUUCCCACUGUCCCUACCUANNNNNNGGAGGCCUCGGCCGCCGGUGAA